rnacentral:rRNA from 1 species
CACGUAGGGGGCAAACGUUGUCCGGAAUGACUGGGCGUAAAGGGCGAGUAGGUGGUUUAACAAGUCAGAAGUGAAAACUCCGGGCUCAACCUGGAGACUGCUUUAGAAACUGUUAAACUUGAGUGCAGGAGAGGGAAGCGGAAUUCCUAGUGUAGCGGUGAAAUGCGUAGAUAUUAGGAAGAACACCAGUGGCGAAGGCGGCUUCCUGGCCUGUAACUGACACUGAGGCGCGAAAGCGUGGGGAGCGAACAGG